UGACUGAUGUUGUUCAGGCCCAGGAGAAAGAGACAAAAAGUGAGAGCGAUGAAGACGACCAUAUUUUGAAUCUCGAGGGCCAGGGGAUUAUGGUUUUUGACCGAUCCCCUAGCACGGAGAGUCAUACUAUGUGGAUGCUUCGUCCAUCUACCCAGCCGCGGGAAGUUACAAUCGAUCUUCCUCCACUCCUCGUCGAGUCACUCGGCGUUGGCGCAGAAGUACUUGCCAAUUACCUGACCGCUCUCGCGGAAGCUGGAUCUCGAGAUCCCUCCCAUGUACCUUUUCUCCCGCAAGUGCUAUGUCGAAUCUGCGAACGCCAAAUCCCUUCUUGGUGGUUCGAGAAACAUUCAGAGCUAUGUUUGCAAGAGCAUGGGGCGGAGAUGGAGGUCCAGAUGGCGCAGGACAAUUUGAAUGAACAUCGCCAUUCCAUCGUUAAGGUCUUGGAUGCUUUAGAAGCUCGCAAAAGCAGGUCAGCUUCGGGAGACUCGAGCCCCUUCGCAGGGCCUAAAGCAGAGUAUAAGAAUUUACCCAUUGGACCCUCCAUACCUUCCUCAGGCUUGACUUCGGGCUCGUCAUCCUCUUCAGGAACACCACCACUCUCACGUGAUCCAUCAACAUCAGGUCGAGGACAUGUUCGCACACGCUCUUCCUUUGCUGUUCGACGACCGCUUGCGCGAAUCGUGGAAUUGAUUUUGGAUCUUUGUGAUACCGCCCUGGAAAUUAAUACCCCAGCACUUAAAGAAGCGCGAACCGAGGUCGGUGAGGAAAUUCGAACACAAUCUCCCCAGUCAGAAUCUCGGAUAUCACAGGUUUUGCAGUGGCAAUCUCCCAGUAGCAAUACUCUUGAUCAAGAACAGGGUUUGGCCGCGCUCUCCGCGGACACUGAGCGCUUUGCCCGUGCCAAGGUGGAUGCUGUGUUUCGCCAUCGUCAGAUUGUAGAAUAUAGUGAGCGUAUUCGCGUCGAAUUUACAGUUCUCGUUGAGGAGUGUGUUUCCGCAGCGAUGAGUAAAGCGGAACGCAUUGCUGCUGGGGAACUAAGCGAUUCAUCGGGUUCAUGCCAUAGCGUUGUGGGAGAUUUGCAGGAUGACGGCCAAUGCUCAACACGGUCUCAGGUCCUCGAUGCACCGUCCAACUUGUCAUCCCAGCCAUCCUCGUUGCCUGCUCCGUCUGCAAUAGCUACUACGUUACGAGUCGGCUCAGAACCUCUAUUACACUCUGCUUCCCA
rnacentral:sRNA from 2 species